AUAAACAAAUCCAUUUAUUUUCUCACAAAAAGUCCAUGUAAGCUGUAAAUCCUGACCUGCAUUAAUUAAAUUUCACUUUUAGAAAACAGUGGUGCAAAUUCCCCUUAAUCCACAAAGUCUGACUUAACUUGGGGGGUGAUGGGAGGAGAUUUCUUGAUUCCCAGCAAAGAUCUUUCUUGCAUCCACUACAGAGCCUUAGUCUUUAUUCCAUCGUACAGUGAAAGAAAUGCAAGGGGGUUUGAAUGCUGGGGAAAAAAAAAAAAAAAAAAAAAAAAAAAAAAAAAAAAAAAAAAAGAAAAAAAAAAAAAAAAAAAAAAGCCGCCUUCUUUGUGUCCUUAUCUCUCCCGAUGCGUGUUACAUGUUGCAGCAAAGAGCAGGGGCGCUGAAGCCGAGCCCAGAAAUCCGACUGGAUUUGACGACGCCCCCGGUAAACAGCGUGGCACAAAAGUCCAUUGUGCUAUGAGAUAACUGCGGGGCUGAAUGGGGGAGGCUGUCACGGGGGGGAUUGUUGGGCCAGUCACCAUCGGAUCACAGUCGAGGCCUGAAUUCCUUUAUGGUUCAUCAGGGCCUGUUGGUACCACAGAAAGUGUCAUGAUCCUUUUUUUCACUGGGGCCAGAUGGUGUCCUUUUCUGAGGCCUUCCUAAUGCCCGGUUUUCCACAUGUAAAACUCCUGGGAAAAUGACCUAACUCACAGCUGCUUAGUGAGGCUUGAGCAGGUCUUUAGAAAGACUUCUGUCAGGAACAAGGCGGCCGUACCACUCCGGGGGAGCAGGGGGAGGCCACCAACACAAACCUACCCCUCGCCGUCUAUAUUUAAGCGGAAAUAAAAUCUCGCCCGGCCUGCGCCGGCCUGCGCGGGCCGGGCCGAGGCCGGCGGGAGAGGCACCGUCGCUGGGCAGAGAAGUGCCAGGAGGGGCCGUGGGGCCGGCAGCCGCAGCAGCCGCUUUCCCUUCCCCGGCGAGCAGAUGGCCUGAAUAAAAACAUAGAAUGUGGUCCAGAAGGGUCGGGAGAGGACAAAAAUCAGAUCUGAGUGGAAAAGAAAUGUACCAUUGAUCUCAGGAUUAGCUCACUUACUGAAAACUUUCCAGGAAUGAUAUUGAGGAACAGCCAUGUAGAAUAAAGCACUCUGUCCUCAAGAAUGGUGUUCUGCAGGGAGCUUCUUUGCCAACACGGCUGCUCCAGCGCGGCAGUCGAUGCGCAGGGUUAGGGGCGCAGGAGCAGUGUGUUCUGCCCAUACCCUCCCACUGUGCACAGACCACCAGACCCAGCCUCACAGUCCCCAUAUUGCCUCUGCCACAGUGACAGGGCUUGCCAGUGUAGCAAGCACCCACUCGUGCUGAACCCAAAAAAUGAGAAGUUUUUAAGGCCACCAAGCAGGCAUCAAAGAGUUACAGCUCUCAGCUGGCAUCAGCCAAGGCCAGAUUCAAAGCAGUGACCUGGAAGCAAGGGGCUCCGUAUCACCCCCAUGAGUUACCCAGCCCCCUGACACUUCACUUAUUAAAAGGCGACUCCAGGACUAUGUCAGUGCCCUUGUGCCUCUGCAGCAUCAUACUAAAAACCCACUCUUCUCAGUCUUAUAUAUUUGUAAGUCAAUUUUAUACAAAGGAACCACUCUUUUAUUGGUCAAAAUGCUUUGGUGGCUUCUAUUUAUUAUUCUAUUAAGAAUCACAUUAUUCUUGUCAACAAUUGUAUCUGUUUCAUUUUCUCAGGUCUGCUGUCACAGCACUGCUUGAAAAUUUUUGCCAAGUUUGUGUUGGAGAAUUAUACUGAGGGAAACUCUGUGUUCUCAUCAUAUUGUAACUUGGUAGAAAAUGAAAAAGGGAUUAUUAUUAUUAUUAUUAUUAUUAUUAUUAUUAUUAUUAUUAUUAAGGGAUUAUUAAUUUUUAUUAUUGUUAUUGGUGGUAGUAGUAGUAGUAGUAUUUCAUAUAUGUAUUAUUCUUAAAAUCAGCCAUAAAACCAGAAUAGCUGAGGUGCCACUCUCAGUAACUACCAUGUUACAUUUUUCGGUUUAUGCACGUAUAGAGGUCAUCCAAGACUUAUAAACUUUUCAUGGAGUGCAUGUGUAGGGCUCCAAUGAUUGGAAAGAAACAGUCUGGCCAAGAAUUUUCUACCAAAGUGGAUUUUUUAAAACGAAGAACCUGAUUAUUUCAUAACUUCUUUUUUUUUUUCCCCGCAGAAAGAUAUUCCCUACCAUAAUAAAAAAAUUUAACAAUCGCAUUAAAAAAUGAAACAUUUUCAGUUUUCAGCCAAAUGUAUUUGUGUUUUGGGUGAAAAGGAUGAAAGGCAACUGUUUGCAAAAGAUAAUCUCAUUUUUCAGGCUAGUUAUGAACAAGCUGUAUCUACUACAGCCUUAAACUACCAUUAAGUAAUAAAAUAUUGAUAGUACACAAAAACUGGUGAAUUCAUUUUUGACAGGUCUCAUCAUAUCUGAAGACUAGUCUCAAGAUCUUUCAGGUCUUAGUGAAAUAAACAAAGGGUUCAACAUGCGGUAGAAUUUCAGCCUUAAUGAUAUCAUAUCUGUGAAUUGUGAAGCAAUGCUACAAGAUAAAGAAUUGAUAGCAGCAUAAUAGGAUAUGUUCCUUUCCCAGCAGAAUCCAGCAGAGGAUUGUAAUAGUUCACCAGGGGAAGUAGGGUUAAAAACCUCUGACCCCUGAUAUCACAUAAACAUUGCCAAAAAAAAUAAAACCCUUGACUGACAGUGAGAUGCGUGACUGCCUCGAGUCUGCUCUGAAAUCUUUGCUGAUAAUUACUGGCUUGAAUGGUAUGAGAAAUGGGCAAGAAGGGUAUCAGCCACAUGAGUGUACAUACUCAGAGACCUGAGC